GUCAGAGCAUCCACUCCAAAGCAGAGAAUUUCUGAAAAACAAAAUAAUGUCAUCAUAUGAUGUUAGAAUUUUUUUUCAAAUGAUGGUUCCUAAUACUUCACAUUAGAAGAACUCGAAUUUGAUGACCAGUUUGAGAAACACCAGUAUAUCCAGAUUACAAGAAAAAGCGAGUCAAAAGGAUGAUCAUGAAUAUAACAACUUCGAGGAAACAUUUAACCAAAGACCAAAGCUUUUUAAACAACUGAGAGUUUUUAUAAGAAAAAGACCUCAUACAGUAGUCCCCACUUAUUCAUGGGGGAUACAUUUCAAGACCCACAGAGAAGGCCUGAAAUCACUGAUGUACCAAACCCUAACCAGGUUCUUAGGAUGAGCUACUAAAUGACAAAUGGGUGGGUAGUACAUAGAGUGUAGAUACACCAGACAAAGAAAUGAUUCACAGCCCAGGCAGGACAGAGCAGAUCACACAAGAUUUCAUCACAGUACUCAGAAAACCACACCAUUUAAAAGUUAUGAAUUGUUUAUUUCUGGAAUUUUCCAUAUAAUAUUUUUGACCACAGUUUCCCAUGGAUAACUGAAACCAUGGGAAGUGGAACUGUGGAUAAGGCAGGACUACUGUAACUAUGACAUCAAUGGUAGGAACCUGAAGCAUAAUUCUGCUGUAGUGGAUUUUUUCAAAAGAAACUCAUGAAUGAAAAAUAAUUUAUUAGAUAUAAGAAAGGAUGCAUUUGUAUCUCAAACUUUACUUAUUCUGGAAAUAAAUGAAAAGCCAACACCUAUUACAUACCGACAAAAAUGAAAAAAUAAAUAAAUGUAAAGCCAUAGUUCAGUACUGAUGGAAUCUGAGAAAAUUUAUAUGACCGCGAACCCAUAUCUCUGUACUGAAUGUGGGAAAGGCUACACUUGUCUUGCAUCCCUGACCCAGCAUCAGAAAACACAUAUUGGAGAAAAACCUUAUGAAUGUAAAAUAUGUGGUAAAUUGAAGGCCAGAGACAGGAAUUUGCCUAAAUCACAGAGUCUCACUUUGUCAUCCAGUCUGGAGUGCGAUGGCAUGAUCUCAGCUCACUGCAGCCUCCGUCUCCCGGGUUCAAGCAAUUCUCCUGCCUCACCCUCUCUAGUAGCUGGGAUUACAGAGCAUCAAAAUAUUAUUUUUGUUUAUGUGGCCCCAGGACAGAUGAAACUUGUACUGGUGCAAAAAUCCAUCCCAGUCAUAACCAUUAGUCAUGAUAACGGACUUAAUGUCAUUGACAUACUUGAAACGGACUAUGAUAAUUAUAUAUAUUUUUAUAACAAGAAUAUCAAGAAUGGGGAAACAUUCCUAAUGCUGGAGCUCUAUGUUCGAACACCGGAUGUGAGCUCACAACUCAAGGAGAGGUUUGUGAAAUAUUGUGAAGAACAUGGGAUUGAUAAGGAAAACAUAUUUGACUUGACCAAAGUUGAUCGCUGUCUCCAGGCCCGAGAUGAGGGAGCAGCCUAGGACUCCGGUGCUGAGUGAAUGAGUGAUGAGUGAAUGAGUGAAUGCUGAGUGCUGAGUGAAUGUUUCCUCACCUGGACUCCAGUAUCUUCCCUUCCUGAUCCCCAUGUCCUCUUAUGACAAGUUCUGUGACCUGAUUUCCAUCAUAUCACACAUGAAGACGUCAUCCCUGCAUCUUUAGGAUCUUCCCUAACUGCCUAAGAAGACUCAGAAAUUCACCAAGAAUCAAAGGUUUUCUUUGAAUUUCUGACUGUCUUUGUCACAGCCAGGGGAACUCUACAUGAAUAACACCUGACUCUACAUGA
rnacentral:lncRNA from 1 species